AAGCGGUGGAUGAUGUGGUUUAAUUCGAUGCAACGCGAAAACCUUACCCACCUUUGACAUGGCAGGAAUCCUGAAGAGAUUUGGGAGUGCUCGAAAGAGAACCUGCACACAGGUGCUGCAUGGCUGUCGUCAGCUCGUGUCGUGAGAUGUUGGGUUAAGUCCCGCAACGAGCGCAACCCUUGCCAUUAGUUGCUACGAAAGGGCACUCUAAUGGGACUGCCGGUGACAAACCGGAGGAAGGUGGGGAUGACGUCAAGUCCUCAUGGCCCUUAUAGGUGGGGCUACACACGUCAUACAAUGGCCGGUACAGAGGGUAGCCAACCCGCGAGGGGGAGCCAAUCCCACAAAGCCGGUCGUAGUCCGGAUCGCAGUCUGCAACUCGACUGCGUGAAGUCGGAAUCGCUAGUAAUCGCGGAUCAGCAUGUCCGCGGUCGAAUACGUUCCCGGGCCUU
rnacentral:rRNA from 1 species